rnacentral:rRNA from 1 species
UACGGAGGAUGCAAGCGUUAUCCGGAUUUAUUGGGUGUAAAGGGUGCGUAGACGGGAAUUCAAGUUAGUUGUGAAAUCCCUCGGCUCAACUGAGGAACUGCAACUAAAACUGAAUUUCUUGAGUACUGGAGAGGAAAGUGGAAUUCCUAGUGUAGCGGUGAAAUGCGUAGAUAUUAGGAGGAACACCAGUGGCGAAGGCGACCUUCUGGACAGAAACUGACGUUGAGGCACGAAAGUGUGGGGAGCAAAC